AUUGAACGCUGGCGGAAUGCUUUACACAUGCAAGUCGAACGGCAGCACGGACUUCGGUCUGGUGGCGAGUGGCGAACGGGUGAGUAAUGUAUCGGAACGUGCCCAGUCGUGGGGGAUAACGUAGUGAAAAUUACGCUAAUACCGCAUACGAUCUAUGGAUGAAAGCGGGGGAUCGCAAGACCUCGCGCGAUUGGAGCGGCCGAUAUCAGAUUAGGUAGUUGGUGGGGUAAAGGUCCGCCAAGCCACCGAUCUGUAGCUGGUCGGAGAGGACGACCAGCCACACUGGAACGGAGACACGGUCCAGACUCCUACGGGAGGCAGCAGUGGGGAAUUUUGGACAAUGGGCGAAAGCCUGAUCCAGCCAUUCCGCGUGCAGGAUGAAGGCCCUCGGGUUGUAAACUGCUUUUGUACAGAACGAAAAGGUUUCUACUAAUACUAGGAGCUCAUGACGGUACUGUAAGAAUAUGCACCGGCUAACUACGUGCCAGCCGCCGCGGUAA
rnacentral:rRNA from 1 species